rnacentral:misc_RNA from 1 species
GGAGACAUUAUUCUUAUUAUUAUUUGGAAUGUCAUAGAGUUGAUGGAACGUUAUCCUCAUGAUUUUAUUUAAUAAUUUGUUGACAUCGAUAUUUUUAUCAACAAUUCUGUGAAUUUCAGUUUUGGCAUUGGUAGUUGACUGGUAGAAUGCGAGUUAUGACUUAUACAUUCUUCCAUGAUCUAUCUACAAACUUGAUGUAGCUGAUGUGAUAAGAAG